GCGGAACGAUCCUAGCUUGCUAGGAGGCGUCGAGCGGCGGACGGGUGAGUAACACGUGAGAAUCUGCCCAUUAGAGGGGGAUAACCUGGGGAAACCCAGGCUAAUACCGCAUAAUCCCUACGGGGGAAAGCAGGGGAUCUUCGGACCUUGUGCUGAUGGAUGAGCUCGCGUCGGAUUAGCUUGUUGGUGAGGUAAUGGCUCACCAAGGCGACGAUCCGUAGCUGGUCUUAGAGGAUGAUCAGCCACACCGGGACUGAGACACGGCCCGGACUCCUACGGGAGGCAGCAGUGGGGAAUCUUGGACAAUGGGGGCAACCCUGAUCCAGCCAUGCCGCGUGUGUGAAGAAGGCCUUCGGGUUGUAAAGCACUUUCAGUAGGGAGGAAGGCUUAUCCUUAAUACGGAUGAGUACUUGACGUUACCUACAGAAGAAGCACCGGCUAAUUUCGUGCCAGCAGCCGCGGUAAUACGAAAGGUGCGAGCGUUAAUCGGAAUUACUGGGCGUAAAGCGCGCGUAGGCGGUUUGCUAAGUCAGAUGUGAAAGCCCCGGGCUCAACCUGGGAACUGCAUUUGAAACUGGCAGGCUAGAAUGCAGUAGAGGGAGGUGGAAUUUCCGGUGUAGCGGUGAAAUGCGUAGAGAUCGGAAGGAACACCAGUGGCGAAGGCGGCCUCCUGGACUGACAUUGACGCUGAGGUNNNNAAGCGUGGGGAGCAAACAGGAUUAGANNNCCUGGUAGUCCACGCCGUANACGAUGUCNACUAGUCGU
rnacentral:rRNA from 1 species